GGCGAGAUGGCCGAGCGGUCUAAGGCGCCAGACUAAGGAUCAGUCAGUGUUCACUGACCCAUCUGAUUCCCCCAAGAAUCAUCUGGUCCUCCGGGGCGUGGGUUCGAAUCCCACUCUCGUCA